AUUGAACGCUGGCGGCAUGCCUUACACGUGCAAGUCGAACGGCAGCGGACCUUCGGGUGCCGGCGAGUGGCGAACGGGUGAGUAAAGUAUCGGAACGUACCUUUCAGUGGGGGAUAACGUAGCGAAAGUUACGCUAAUACCGCAUAUUCUCUGAGGAGGAAAGCAGGGGACCUUCGGGCCUUGCGCUGAUGGAGCGGCCGAUAUCAGAUUAGCUAGUUGGUGGGGUAAAGGCCUACCAAGGCGACGAUCUGUAGCGGGUCUGAGAGGAUGAUCCGCCACACUGGGACUGAGACACGGCCCAGACUCCUACGGGAGGCAGCAGUGGGGAAUUUUGGACAAUGGGCGAAAGCCUGAUUCAGCCAUGCCGCGUGAGUGAAGAAGGCCUUCGGGUUGUAAAGCUCUUUCGGCCGGGAAGAAAUCGUGUGGGCUAAUACCCUGCAUGGAUGACGGUACCGGAAUAAGAAGCACCGGCUAACUACGUGCCAGCAGCCGCCGUAACAC
rnacentral:rRNA from 1 species